CCCUGGGCUACGUCUCACCGUUUGUUUGUUUCAAGUCUCGUGAUCUUCAAAUGAUUAAAUGAGAUGAGGGGUGUGGAAGAGUUGGGCAAACUAUCUCUACCUCAAAUCUCUGCCUCCAUUCCUACUGGUGGGAGUUCCAGCCAUCCUUUCCAGCCUGAACCGUUGCAGCAGCCUCCUAAAGUCUCCUGCAGACAAACUCAGCCUCCAUUCAGCCUCCAGAGCGAACUCUCUAAAAUGCGCUUCUCUUUAAAAUCCUGCAGAGGUUCCCCUGGCUUCUGGCCGCAGUGCGGACCUACAAGGUAUCCAAUACAAACCUCGCAGUGCCCUCAAGCUUUUAAAAGACCACAAAGAGCCCCAGACUUCAAGAAGCAGCCAAAAUCCUCAAAGUAAGGCAACACACAGCCAGGCAAGGGAACGCUAUAGGAAGAAAAACAGUGAUUGAAAUAUUUCUAAAAAUUCCCUGCUACAGAUGUUUUGGGUAUGGAAAGAAGAGAAUGUGGACACGGGGGGGAGGAGAUGCUGAGUCACUGGGAAAGGCUUGAGCAUGUUUAUAGGCUGAGGAAAAAACAGAGCCAGGAAAGGAGGAGAAGCCCAAGACAGAGAGAAAGACAGUGAAGCGAGUCUUGAGAAGUCCUGGGAGGCUUGCUGAUCUCCGCCCAGGAUGAUUCUGGGCCUGGGCCCAGCCCUUCCCUCCUUUGAUCCUACUCCCUUUUUAAGACCCAAGCCAUGAUCACAACCCAAGACAGGUCACCUUACCUCCUGUUUCACUGAGAAAAUGCAGACCAUCAAGAGGGAACACCCACGGAUCUACACAUUAACCCACAUCAGCAUCCGCUGUCUCUCCCUCACUCCAGUUUCUGCCAAGGGGCAAUGCCCCCUCCCAAGAGACCUAACCCUUCACAGAUGAGAAACUGAGGAAACUUUACAUGUAUGAGUUCAUUUAAUCUUUCAAACAAUCCUAAGAAGCAGUUCCUCCAUGUGGCUGUUUCAGAUGCCAAGCAGAGAAGCUCCUCGAAGCCUGUUACCCACUGUCCUCCUGGAUCGUCAUUAAAAACUUCCCCUGACCUUUGCAGCUACUUCCUGUGAGCCUCUUAGGGACUGCUUGUGACCUAUUUUCAGAGCUGGCGGUUCUGGCUUCUAGAGCAAAUGAGGAACAAGCCCAGCUACAGGUGGUCGACUGUUUCCUUUGGGCUCCUGGCACCAAGGAAGAAUUGCUCACUGAAAGGAUCGUAGGUCAGAAGGAUGCCUGGUUGCCGCAUCAGGGCGGUAGAUUUUCAUAUAAACCGUGGGUCAGUAUUCAGGAUCGUCCGAAAGCUGUUAUCUUCUGUUUGCUGAAGACAGUUUCUUCCUUAUAGUAAUAAAGAAAAAGAACCCAUUGAAUCUUCUUGUUGGUUUUUUUUUCCUCAAAGCAAAGAUGCCUCACCAGAAUUGGUCAAUUAAGGAAAUACUGAUUGAGCUCCUGAGUGGAAGUCCCAU
rnacentral:lncRNA from 1 species